rnacentral:misc_RNA from 1 species
GGAAAAUGCAGAGACCUCGGACGACGCCGUCGGAGUACCAGGGGAAGGCCAUGACGAGGAGGACGCCGAAGAUUCCGAGGGAAGGAACGAGGAGGGGGAGGAGAGGGAGGAGGAAGACGGUGGCGGCGAGGAAGGAGAAGGUGGAGGAGCCGAGUAAGUAGAGGCCCCAGCCGAGGAGGGGGUGGAUGGUGGUGGGGAUGAUGAAGAAUGGAAGGGCGUAGGUGGCGAGGAUGGACCAAAAGGCGGCGAGUUUGAGGGCGGAGUGGAAGGAGGCGGCGGGUUUUUCCGAUCGGCGGUGGGAGAGCUUGGUGAGAUUAGGGCGGGCGAGACGGAUCAUGGCGAGAAUCCCUAAGUAAACAAGGAUUUGGAUCAGAAUCAAUGGCAUCUCCGCGCCGUACCCGAGGGUGCCGCGACGUUGUUCAUGCCAUUGGAGGCCAAGAGGUAGAAC